rnacentral:rRNA from 1 species
GAUGAACGCUGGCGGCGUGCCUAAUACAUGCAAGUCGAGCGAACAGACGAGGAGCUUGCUCCUCUGAUGUUAGCGGCGGACGGGUGAGUAACACGUGGAUAACCUACCUAUAAGACUGGGAUAACUUCGGGAAACCUGAGCUAAUACCGGAUAACAUGUUGAACCGCAUGGUUCAACAGUGAAAGACGGUCUUGCUGUCACUUAUAGAUGGAUCCGCGCCGCAUUAGCUAGUUGGUAAGGUAACGGCUUACCAAGGCAACGAUGCGUAGCCGACCUGAGAGGGUGAUCGGCCACACUGGAACUGAGACACGGUCCAGACUCCUACGGGAGGCAGCAGUAGGGAAUCUUCCGCAAUGGGCGAAAGCCUGACGGAGCAACGCCGCGUGAGUGAAGAAGGUCUUCGGAUCGUAAAACUCUGUUAUUAGGGAAGAACAAAUGUGUAAGUAACUAUGCACGUCUUGACGGUACCUAAUCAGAAAGCCACGGCUAACUACGUG